UUGACAUGAUAUUUUUACUUUAGCAACCAUAGAAAGAGACACAAGAUUAACUGAAGUCCUCAUGACCUGGUAGUAACAAUGGAAGUCAUAUUUUGUGUGCAUGUGGUCAAGUGUCUUCCCCAAACUCCAUUCUAAAAAUAAAAAAGUUAUAACCCCACAAAGGUUAAUGGCAUAUGAUAAGUAUCUUAUGUUGAGAGAAGGAAAGCAGAUAGGUGACCAGUUGGCAGGGUUUUAGCUUUGUCUGUUCUGCUAAGCCCCUGCGGUGCAGCAGAGAGCUAACCAUAACUUAAUUCAAUACCGCAGGUCUAAGGGAAGGCUCAGAAGUUGGGGCACUGGUUUCUUUUAAGGGUGGGAGUGAGGAGCAGGGUGGAAAACAUGAGUUUAUUGGAGUCUUUAAAAGGAGUAGCCGCCUUUGUCCACUCCCCUUACCUUACACCGCCACGUGACUGGACUUAAAUUCAGCAGAAAACAGAAGGUUUACCAUCUGCAGAAAGAAGUUGGGGCUAUGGAUUGGUGGAUACCAGACACAGGUAAUAAUACUAUAUUAAAAUACAAAAAACAAGUUAAUAAAAUGGGCAGAUCCAUAGCAUUAUACAUCUGUGUGGCAGAGAUUAACAAUUGUCCCUGAUAUUAUUCUCUGACUUUUUCUUAGAAUCCCCAACUUUUAGCUGGACAUAUGACUGCUCAAAAAACAUCUAAAAAAAGAAGACGAAGAAGAAGAAAAUACAUCUCCCAGCCCAGCCUCCCUUGAUUCCUAAUCCAGGAAAAUUCAAACAGUUGGGAGAGGGAAAUAACUCAAAUGACAGAGGUCUGGAAACAUUUGGAAGAUGGUCUCAGAUGACUUGGAUACUGGGGCUGUUGACUGGAGCACCUACAUGUGUCUGGCCCUUCUCAGUGACUUUGUCUUCUCAUAGCAUGGUAGCUGGAUUCCAAAAGGUAGUCUCUCAAGAGGAAGCUGCUGAGAGCAAGUGUUUGAUGAAAACAAGAUGGAAGCUGCAUGACCUUUUAUUGACCUCGUGUGACUUCUGCUAUUGUCUAUUAUUUGAAGCAGUUACCAGUUCCAAAGAACAUGUGGAGUUGGAGAUAUUGUGGAAGACAUUUUUAGAAAAAAUCUGCCACACCUAUCUUAUAGAAAACUUGUACUUGAUAAGUAAAAAAAAAGCAACAGGCACAAUCUUAUUUGUAAAGUUUUAAAAUGUGUACAUAUAUACAGAAACAAAUGCAUACAGAGAGAACUGGAAGGAAAUGGGAUAUCUAUACCAGUUAUCUCAGGGAUGGGGGUGAGGAAGAUAUGUAAAGCUGGGCUUUCAUAUAUUUUGAUCUACAUUAUUUUAUAUUGUUUGAAUCUUUUACAAUGAGAAUUAUUAAUCUAUUAUUUGCAUAAUAAAUAAAAUAUCUAUGUUGAAAAUAUCA